CGCAUCCUUCGGGGUGAGUGGCAGACGGGUGAGUAACGCGUGGGAACGUGCCCUUCAGUUCGGAAUAACCCAGGGAAACUUGGGCUAAUACCGGAUACGUGCGAGAGCAGAAAGAUUUAUCGCUGAAGGAUCGGCCCGCGUCUGAUUAGCUUGUUGGUGGGGUAAUGGCCCACCAAGGCGACGAUCAGUAGCUGGUCUGAGAGGAUGAUCAGCCACAUUGGGACUGAGACACGGCCCAAACUCCUACGGGAGGCAGCAGUGGGGAAUAUUGGACAAUGGGCGCAAGCCUGAUCCAGCCAUGCCGCGUGAGUGAUGAAGGCCUUAGGGUUGUAAAGCUCUUUCAGCGGGGACGAUAAUGACGGUACCCGCAGAAGAAGCCCCGGCUAACUUCGUGCCAGCAGCCGCGGUAAUACGAAGGGGGCUAGCGUUGUUCGGAAUCACUGGGCGUAAAGGGCGCGUAGGCGGCUUUGUAAGUCGGGGGUGAAAGCCUGUGGCUCAACCACAGAAUUGCCUUCGAUACUGCAUGGCUUGAGACCGGAAGAGGUUAGUGGAACUGCGAGUGUAGAGGUGAAAUUCGUAGAUAUUCGCAAGAACACCAGUGGCGAAGGCGGCUGACUGGUCCGGUUCUGACGCUGAGGCGCGAAAGCGUGGGGAGCAAACAGGAUUAGAUACCCUGGUAGUCCACGCCGUAAACGAUGAAUGCCAGCCGUUGGCGAGCUUGCUCGUCAGUGGCGCAGCUAACGCUUUAAGCAUUCC
rnacentral:rRNA from 1 species